GACGGAAGGUGCAAGCGUUGCUCGGAAUCACUGGGCGUAAAGGGUGCGUAGGCGGCUUGGUGGGUCUGGUGUGAAAGCCCCGGGCUCAGCCCGGGAAGGGCGCUAGAAACUGCCGAGCUCGAGUGCCGGAGGGGAGAGUGGAAUUCCUGGUGUAGCGGUGAAAUGCGUAGAUAUCAGGAGGAAUACCGGUGGCGAAAGCGACUCUCUGGACGGCAACUGACGCUGAGGCACGAAGGCCAGGGGAGCAAACGGG
rnacentral:rRNA from 1 species